CCUUGGCCCACACACCUGUCAUCAAUCACCAGUCAUCACCAGGAGCACUACUUGAGGCUGGGACACAGAUCCUCUCAUCGCUGGAUGAUUGUGCUUAACACUUUUCCUCCCUGGACCUGUGACCUCCCCGCUGUGUGGUUGUGUGUGAGUUGGAGUAAGAGGAGGAGACGAGUGCGCGAGCGUUUUCCCCUGGAUCUUCCCUGGGACCCUUCUCCUACCCGGAUUUCCCCCACUGUACAUAUUCUGCACUUGGUGUUGUAAAUAAACUCUGUGUUGGAACUGA